UAUUGGUCAAUGGACGCAAGUCUGAACCAGCUAUGCCGCGUGAAGGAUUAAGGUCCUCUGGAUUGUAAACUUCUUUUAUCUGGGACGAAAAAAGGUCUUUCUAGAUCACUUGACGGUACCAGAUGAAUAAGCACCGGCUAACUCCGUGCCAGCAGCCGCGGUAAUACGGAGGGUGCAAGCGUUAUCCGGAUUCACUGGGUUUAAAGGGUGCGUAGGCGGGCAGGUAAGUCAGUGGUGAAAUCCUGGAGCUCAACUCCAGAACUGCCAUUGAUACUAUCUGUCUUGAAUAUUGUGGAGGAAGCGGAAUAUGUCAUGAGCGGUAAAUGCUAGUAUACAUGACACCCAUUGCAAGGAGCUUCUCGAUUUAGCGUGGACAAAUCAUCUG
rnacentral:rRNA from 1 species